AGAAGCAUAUAGAUAUAACAGCUAAUUGGAAUGACAUUGGCAUUCCACCAAAAACUGUUGUUCAAGCAAGAGACCUUUGGGAGGUAAUUCAUUGUACUUUUGUUGACAUUCAAUUUAUGUUGUUUUCUGUGCAUUGCAUGCUGUAUUUUUAUAUACUAUGUUUCAUUGUACUUUGUUGGAUACUGCUGAGGUUAUAAAUAAGGUUUUUGUCUUGAUUGUUUUGAAUGCAGCACAAGACAUUGAAGACACCUUUUGUGAACAAGUUGAGGGCAACCGUAGAAUCACAUGCUUGUAAAAUGUAUGUGUUGAAACCAGUAGCAUGAGUUCUAGAAGACUAGAACACAGUUACAUAGAUUGGAGCUUUUAGAAGCAUUGUUGUUAAUUUUUUUGAGAGGAGCAUUGUUGUUAAUUGGAAAUAGGUGUUUAUUUCUGAGUAAAAUAAAUGUCAACUUGUAUAUCAUCAGGUUCAGUUUAUUUAAUAAAGAUUGUUCAUCUGCUUCAAUUGAUUGAACUUUGCUAGCUACCAUAUUUUGUGUACCAGUUCAAAUGAUUUGGUUGAUGUGUACAUGGGUUAUUUAGAAGAUGCACAAUUAUUUGGAAGAAGCGCAAUCAUUGGAUUUUUUGCAACAAUCAAAUGUCACCGGAACAUAUAUUUGAUCGUGUCAAUUUUUUAUUUUUUUUUGGUAGCUGAAGGCUCAUAAACCUAUUUUUUUAUUUUUUUUAUUUUAAUUCUUGGUGGUCUAGUAUGUUUUUUAUGGGAUCUAAUCCAUUGCAAUAUAUAAAAUUCAAUCACUUUGAAAGAGUUGUACGAGAUGAAAAUUCACAAUUUUUUUUCCUUCAUAUAUGUCAAAGUGAUGGAAAAGAACGAGUAUAUUUCACGUAUCCACCUUAUUUAUCUAAUUUUCUGAAAAUCAUGGAGAAAAAAAAAGAAAAAAAAAUCUCUUCACAAGAGAUAAAAUCUCCUAUAAUGAUAAUAAAUUAUUUAAUUAUUAGAGUUCCACUAAUAAAGAAAAAAGAAAGAAACUAAGCAAUGAAUUUUUAAAAAGGGCAAAAGUUUUAGAUAAAAAAUAUAAGAAAUUUAUUCCUAUGGAUGUAUUUGAAAACCGAAUUAGAUUAUCUAAUGAUAAAAGGAAAAUAAAAUAUUCAACUAAAAUAUAUGAUCCUAUCUUGAAUGGACCUUUUCACCAUCAAUUCAAAAUGAAACUUACACAACAAAUUCCAUUUUGAUAAAUAAGAUUCAUGGUCUCCUUCUUCUAUUAAUAGUAAAUAUCCAGAAUUAUUAUGGAAUUUAUUUUUUUUAACUUAAUCAGUAAAUUUUCGGAAAAAUCCCUAUCCAGUUUUAAUUUUGACGGACUUUAUUUUUUCCAGAACAUGAACAAGUAAAAAUAUAUUCCAAAGAAAAAAAAAAUCUUAUUUGAGGCAAUUAGAACUGAUCGGAACAACCAAACCAUUUUUUAUAGAAAGAAAUGUAGUGGAAUAAACGAAAUCAGUAAACAAGUUCCUCGAUGGUCAUACGAGUUAAUCGACGAAUUGGAGCAAGUGACGAAAAGAAUAAUAAAAGAGGCUCAGAUUCGUUCCCCAAUUACCAAACGUAUAGUAAUUUUUAAUGGGAAUACAAGUUCACUAAAUUUGAAUCUUGAUCCUAAAAAUACUUAUGACAAUGAGGAUGUUGCGUUGUACUACCUCCGUCCCUAAUUAUAAGAUCCUUUUGAAAAAAAAAUUGUCCCUUUUUAUAAGACCUCUUUGCUAUUUCCAACUACAUUAAUUAUUUCUUUACAUACAUGCCCCUAUUUAUUAUACAUCUUUUUCUUCAAUCAACAAUAAAUAACAUGUUGAAAACAUAAACCAACUCUCUCUUAAAGGAUAAAAUUGUAAAAACAAUAGUAAUUACAAACAUAUUUAAUACAAAUAUCCACUAUCUUAAUUCCCGUUAUUUUUUCAAAAGGAUCCUAUAAUUAGGGACGGAGGUAGUAAUUAUAAGAAAAAAGAUAAUAGGUGAAGAAAAAGAAUUUUGUUGAUCAACACAAUGAACAAAAAAGCAACCACACAAGUAACUUUUGACCACACUUUUUCACAUGAAAUCUAUGUAUUAGAGGCAUGUUACUUGUAUUUUGCUCGAUAUCAUUUCUUCUAUCUAAAUCUUAUAAUUUAUAAUACAUUAAAAUUAAAAUUUAAGACCCUGGUAGUAAAAAGUCUUUUAAAAAAUCUUUAAAAUGGAUACAUUCCAUUCCUCGAAAAUUAUGAUCAAGAACAAAUUGAAUCUCAGGAUGAGGAUGAAAUAGCAUCCAAAUCAAAAUUAUUAGGAUGAGGAUGAAACAUGGUUUUAUGAUACACAAAUCUAUAAGACUGCAAAUCUACACGUGAAAGAAUACAUUGUUACUGAAUACGACAUUCACUCAGGACUAGUAUGUAUCAUGUAUGCACUACAAAUUUGUUCUUAUCAAAUUUUAAUACUCCUGUUAUUAAGGCUAUAGAUCAAAGUAAAUAACAAAACAAUACAUUGGAUUUAGAUUUUUCUUGAAGAAUCAUGCAACUUCAUUUUCAAAAUUAAAAAAAAAACGACUAACAUGAUAGUCAAAUACGUAUAACAGUUAAAAUCAUAAACAGUGACCUUUGACUAGCUAAGGAUCAUAUACUAACUAGUCUUGUCUAUUUUUUUGGCUAUAAAUAAAGAUAAGGGACCCUCUCUCUCUCUCAAACACACUUCAACUGAAGUAAAGUGAAGUGAAGUGAAGUAGAGAAUGAGGAGUAAGAUUGGAUUUGAGAUGGUGGUAGUUUUGGUGACCCUUUUGCAUGUUUGUUUGGUUUGUGUCACUGCUUCUUCAUUAGGGAACAACUAUGAUGGAGAGCAUCUCAGAAGAAACCUUCUUGCUAAUGGACUUGGUAAAACUCCUCCUAUGGGGUAUGUCACUGAAUUCCUUCUCUUAAUUUUGUUGGAUUAAGUGCUUUUUAGAAUAGCAAUACUUUAAUUAGCAAGGAAUACUAAUAAAUUAAAAUAAUUUUUUAUUUUAUUUACUUUCCAUUCAUAUUUUACAUGCAUCUAAAGAUUUAUGAUACUGAGGUUUUUAUAACAUUUUUUUUAUUAUACAGGUGGAACAGUUGGAAUCAUUUCGCCUGUCAAAUUAAUGAAAAAAUGAUCCGAGAAACUGGUAUUUUCUCAUUAAUUUAUAGUUUAUGUGAUUUAUGUAUAGUAUACAAGAUAAUGAAUUUAAGAAUUUUUAUAAGACUAUGUGUUCAUAUGAUAAACUAGCAUUUGAUUUUUGUGUACUCCUUACAGCUGAUGCCCUUGUUUCAACUGGUCUAUCUAAGCUUGGAUACACCUAUGUUAAUAUAGGUACAACAAAUCACUUAAUUUUCAACUCUUAUCAUUAUUUGUUUCAAUUUUUUACUUAGUAAAGUAUCAUUAGCACAUGCUAUUAACCUUAAUCCACAAAUUUUCAUUGAUGCAGAUGAUUGUUGGGCUGAACUUAAUCGUGAUAAUAAGGUACAGUCUUAUAAUUUUCACAUGCUUCCAUUAUGUUUUAGUACUUGAUUUCUGAAAGUUCUUGGUUUUAAUUAAUCUGAUUAAAGCGUUUAUGACAUAAACUAUAUUAUAGGGUAAUCUGGUGGGAAAGAAAUCAACAUUUCCAUCUGGCAUCAAAGCUCUUGCAGAUUAUGUUCAUAGCAAGGGUCUUAAGCUUGGAAUUUAUUCAGAUGCAGGGUACAUAAACAAGAAAUUAUCCCCUUGUAUUUUAUUUAUUUUUCAUUACUUUCUAACUAAUCUUUAUUCUGACCUUUCACAGGUAUUUUACAUGUAGCAAACAAAUGCCUGGUUCACUAGGUCAUGAGUUCCAAGAUGCCAAAACUUUUGCAUCAUGGGUACUUCAAAUAUUUUUUAAUUUUUUUUAAUCUUGUUUCUUAGCACUUACCUAUUAAUAUCUAUGUAACCAAUGCUUAUUUUGCUUGAUAACAGGGCAUUGAUUAUUUGAAGUAUGAUAAUUGUUACAAUGAUGAAUCAAAGCCCACUGUGAGGUAGUCAAAAAUAUAUUUGCAAUUUUGCAUACUACUAGUGUUGUUUUGUAGUUUCCCUAAUAGAACUACAUCUUAUAAUAUUUCAUACAUGAUUUCAAAAAACAUGGCCUUCUUAUGUAUAGGUAUCCUGUUAUGACUCGCGCUUUAAUGAAGGCAGGUCGUCCAAUCUUCUUUUCGCUAUGUGAAUGGUAAUUAUUCUAUUUUAGUAUCUUAUUUAUCUUUUGAUCUACGUAGCACAUGUUGAAGGUGUAUCCGGUAUCCGACAUGUGUGGCUGUUUGACAUCAACACAUUUGAUUACAUUUAAUCACUUUCAUUUUUUCAAAUUAUUAUUGGUGUUUAUGUCAGUAUCGGAUCUGGUGUACGUAUGUGCCAGUGCUUUAUAGCAUACAAUUUUAAGUAUUCCUCUCUAAUCAAACUUUCUUUGUUUGUUAGGGGAGAUAUGCAUCCAGCUAAAUGGGGUGCUAAAGUGGGAAAUAGUUGGAGAACUACUGGUGACAUAACUGAUACAUGGGAAAGGUAAAAACCAUGCACUCAAUUGGUUUUUUGAAAUGUAAACAAGUUCGAUAUUUACUAAAGUUGAACAAUCGUGUAUCCUACUAUCCUUAGCUACUAGCUAAUAAAAUUAACUUGUUUUAUGCAGUAUGAUUUCAAGGGCUGACAUGAAUGAAGUUUAUGCUGAGCUUGCAAGACCUGGUGGUUGGAAUGGUUAGAAUUUCAUUUGUUUAACAACUUUUUGUGAAAGACAUCGAGUUUGCAUAUUGAUUUCAUGAUACAAUUUAUGAGUCGAUUUAUUCAUUAAACAUUCUAACUCGACAGAUCCUGAUAUGCUUGAGGUUGGAAAUGGAGGGAUGACAAAAAAUGAGUAUAUCGUUCACUUCAGUUUGUGGGCCAUUUCAAAGGUUCGAUUAUUCUCGUCUCCAAACAUCCUUAUUUAUGUGAAAGCAUGUAUUGUACGGACCUGAAUUCACUGCUCUACAAAUAUCAUACAGUUACACACAGUAUUCAAUCUCGACCAUUGAUUUGAGAUCAAACAUCACAGAUUACACAAUCAGUAAAUUAAUUUUAAAUGAUCUCGGUUGUUGAUUUGCAAUUGGACAACCAAGAUCUCUAACUGCGUCACAGCAGAUCUAUUUCCGUAUUGUACUGUACUUCAUUUUUCACUGGUUCACCGGUGAAGGUUUAUUGCAGGCUCCUCUUCUUCUAGGCUGUGAUGUUAGAAAUGUGACUAAAGAGACCUUGGAGAUAGUUUCUAAUAAGGAAGUUAUUGCAGUUAACCAAGGUGAUGCAUAAUUUGUCAUUUUGCGAUUUUCUAAUCAUAUGUAAUAUACGUUACUGAUAUUAUGUUAUAUCUUUUAUCACACGAUAGAUUCGCUUGGCGUACAAGCUAAAAAGGUUAGGAUGGAAGGUGAUGCUGAGGUAAUUUUCAUUCCGAAUACAACAUACGAUUUCUUCUCGAGCGUUACUUGUAUGGAAUUGGAUUGUCUUCUGUUAAAUGAAGAUCGUCAAACUACUCAUGUUUUGAGUUGCAUUUUAAAGAACAUUUAGUGAAUCCAACGGCUGAGACAGUGUGCUUUUAGAAUGAUUGAGCCUAAUAAUUUGGCACUAUGUUUAUUAAAGAUUUUUGUUCUUAUCUGCAUGUUUUGUUGGAUAGAUAUGGGCAGGUCCUCUUUCAGGAUAUAGGGUAGCUGUUGUGUUGCUUAAUAAAGGCACUCAGAAGCAUAUAGAUAUAACAGCUAAUUGGAAUGACAUUGGCAUUCCACCAAAAACUGUUGUUCAAGCAAGAGACCUUUGGGAGGUAAUUCAUUGUACUUUUGUUGACAUUCAAUUUAUGUUGUUUUCUGUGCAUUGCAUGCUGUAUUUUUAUAUACUAUGUUUCAUUGUACUUUGUUGGAUACUGCUGAGGUUAUAAAUAAGGUUUUUGUCUUGAUUGUUUUGAAUGCAGCACAAGACAUUGAAGACACCUUUUGUGAACAAGUUGAGGGCAACCGUAGAAUCACACGCGUGUAAGAUGUUCGUGUUGAAACCAGUUGCAUGAGUUCUAGAAGACUAGAAGACAGUUACUUAGAUUGGAGCUUAUGGAAGCA
rnacentral:lncRNA from 1 species